AGGGCACCACCAGGAGUGGAGCCUGCGGCUUAAUUUGACUCAACACGGGAAAACUCACCCGGCCCGGACACUGGAAGGAUUGACAGAUUGAGAGCUCUUUCUUGAUUCAGUGGGUGGUGGUGCAUGGCCGUUCUUAGUUGGUGGAGUGAUUUGUCUGGUUAAUUCCGAUAACGAACGAGACUCUAGCCUACUAAAUAGAUCGUCGGCUUACAAACGCCGACGAGACUUCUUAGAGGGACAGGCGGCGAUUCAGCCGCACGAAACAGAGCAAUAACAGGUCUGUGAUGCCCUUAGAUGUCCGGGGCCGCACGCGCGCUACACUGAAGUGAUCAGCGUGCUUUUUCAACCUACUCUGUCAAGAGUGGGGAACCCAAUGAACCUUCUUCGUGAUUGGGAUAGGGGAUUGUAAUUAUUCCCCUUGAACGAGGAAUUCCCAGUAAGCGCGUGUCAUAAGCUCGCGUUGAUUACGUCCCUGCCCUUUGUACACACCGCCCGUCGCUACUACCGAUUGAAUGUUUU
rnacentral:rRNA from 1 species